AUGAACGCUAGCUACAGGCUUAACACAUGCAAGUCGAGGGGCAGCAUGGUCUUAGCUUGCUAAGGCCGAUGGCGACCGGCGCACGGGUGAGUAACACGUAUCCAACCUGCCGUCUACUCUUGGACAGCCUUCUGAAAGGAAGAUUAAUACAAGAUGGCAUCAUGAGUCCGCAUGUUCACAUGAUUAAAGGUAUUCCGGUAGACGAUGGGGAUGCGUUCCAUUAGAUAGUAGGCGGGGUAACGGCCCACCUAGUCUUCGAUGGAUAGGGGUUCUGAGAGGAAGGUCCCCCACAUUGGAACUGAGACACGGUCCAAACUCCUACGGGAGGCAGCAGUGAGGAAUAUUGGUCAAUGGGCGAGAGCCUGAACCAGCCAAGUAGCGUGAAGGAUGACUGCCCUAUGGGUUGUAAACUUCUUUUAUAAAGGAAUAAAGUCGGGUAUGGAUACCCGUUUGCAUGUACUUUAUGAAUAAGGAUCGGCUAACUCCGUGCCAGCAGCCGCGGUAAUACGGAGGAUCCGAGCGUUAUCCGGAUUUAUUGGGUUUAAAGGGAGCGUAGAUGGAUGUUUAAGUCAGUUGUGAAAGUUUGCGGCUCAACCGUAAAAUUGCAGUUGAUACUGGAUAUCUUGAGUGCAGUUGAGGCAGGCGGAAUUCGUGGUGUAGCGGUGAAAUGCUUAGAUAUCACGAAGAACUCCGAUUGCGAAGGCAGCCUGCUAAGCUGCAACUGACAUUGAGGCUCGAAAGUGUGGGUAUCAAACAGGAUUAGAUACCCUGGUAGUCCACACGGUAAACGAUGAAUACUCGCUGUUUGCGAUAUACUGCAAGCGGCCAAGCGAAAGCGUUAAGUAUUCCACCUGGGGAGUACGCCGGCAACGGUGAAACUCAAAGGAAUUGACGGGGGCCCGCACAAGCGGAGGAACAUGUGGUUUAAUUCGAUGAUACGCGAGGAACCUUACCCGGGCUUAAAUUGCAGAUGAAUUACGGUGAAAGCCGUAAGCCGCAAGGCAUCUGUGAAGGUGCUGCAUGGUUGUCGUCAGCUCGUGCCGUGAGGUGUCGGCUUAAGUGCCAUAACGAGCGCAACCCUUGUUGUCAGUUACUAACAGGUUCCGCUGAGGACUCUGACAAGACUGCCAUCGUAAGAUGUGAGGAAGGUGGGGAUGACGUCAAAUCAGCACGGCCCUUACGUCCGGGGCUACACACGUGUUACAAUGGGGGGUACAGAGGGCCGCUACCACGCGAGUGGGUGCCAAUCCCCAAAACCUCUCUCAGUUCGGACUGGAGUCUGCAACCCGACUCCACGAAGCUGGAUUCGCUAGUAAUCGCGCAUCAGCCACGGCGCGGUGAAUACGUUCCCGGGCCUUGUACACACCGCCCGUCAAGCCAUGGGAGCCGGGGGUACCUGAAGUGCGUAACCGCGAGGAGCGCCCUAGGGUAAAACUGGUGACUGGGGCU
rnacentral:rRNA from 1 species